rnacentral:rRNA from 1 species
GCAGUGGCGGGCAGCUACACAUGCAGUCGAGCGGUAACAGGGGUAGCUUGCUACCCGCUGACGAGCGGCGGACGGGUGAGUAAUGCAUAGGAAUCUGCCCGAUAGUGGGGGAUAACCUGGGGAAACCCAGGCUAAUACCGCAUACGUCCUACGGGAGAAAGGGGGCUCCGGCUCCCGCUAUUGGAUGAGCCUAUGUCGGAUUAGCUAGUUGGUGAGGUAAUGGCUCACCAAGGCAACGAUCCGUAGCUGGUCUGAGAGGAUGAUCAGCCACAUCGGGACUGAGACACGGCCCGAACUCCUACGGGAGGCAGCAGUGGGGAAUAUUGGACAAUGGGCGAAAGCCUGAUCCAGCCAUGCCGCGUGUGUGAAGAAGGCCCUCGGGUUGUAAAGCACUUUCAGCGAGGAAGAACGCCUAGUGGUUAAUACCCAUUAGGAAAGACAUCACUCGCAGAAGAAGCACCGGCUAACUCCGUGCCAGCAGCCGCGGUAAUACGGAGGGUGCAAGCGUUAAUCGGAAUUACUGGGCGUAAAGCGCGCGUAGGUGGCUUGAUAAGCCGGUUGUGAAAGCCCCGGGCUCAACCUGGGAACGGCAUCCGGAACUGUCAAGCUAGAGUGCAGGAGAGGAAGGUAGAAUUCCCGGUGUAGCGGUGAAAUGCGUAGAGAUCGGGAGGAAUACCAGUGGCGAAGGCGGCCUUCUGGACUGACACUGACACUGAGGUGCGAAAGCGUGGGUAGCAAACAGGAUUAGAUACCCUGGUAGUCCACGCCGUAAACGAUGUCGACCAGCCGUUGGGUGCCUAGCGCACUUUGUGGCGAAGUUAACGCGAUAAGUCGACCGCCUGGGGAGUACGGCCGCAAGGUUAAAACUCAAAUGAAUUGACGGGGGCCCGCACAAGCGGUGGAGCAUGUGGUUUAAUUCGAUGCAACGCGAAGAACCUUACCUACUCUUGACAUCCUGCGAACUUGUGAGAGAUCACUUGGUGCCUUCGGGAACGCAGAGACAGGUGCUGCAUGGCUGUCGUCAGCUCGUGUUGUGAAAUGGUUGGGUUAAGUCCCGUAACGAGCGCAA